AUACGGAGGGUGCAAGCGUUAAUCGGAAUUACUGGGCGUAAAGCGCGCGUAGGCGGUUUGGUAAGUCGGAUGUGAAAUCCCAGGGCUCAACCUUGGAACUGCAUUCGAUACUGCCUCACUAGAGUAUGGUAGAGGGAAGUGGAAUUCCGGGUGUAGCGGUGAAAUGCGUAGAUAUCGGAAGGAACACCAGUGGCGAAGGCGACUUCCUGGGCCAAUACUGACGCUGAGGUGCGAAAGCGUGGGGAGCAAACAGGAUUAGAAACCCCGGUAGUCC
rnacentral:rRNA from 1 species